rnacentral:lncRNA from 1 species
UGUGCUCCUCUAACCUAAAUUACUGCUCUAAGGCUCCGAUCCUAUCUAAUAGGUAUCCAUCUCUCUCCUAAAACUAUGAAGCUCUAUUUGCACGAUGGAGGAGAGGUGUGAUAGGUCCACCUAUGGAGCCACUAGGUGCUCCCGCUCUACCCUUAGUCAAUCAAGAACCAAUAUCUCUACUAUCUACCUCAUUUGAUCCUCAUCCAAUAGCAUAUAGAAGGGCUGAGCGGGCUAAGAAACUCCAACUAGUGUGACAAGAGGUGUCGAUGUUGGGGGUAAUGCAGUUGAAGGUGUCUAGGGCUUUGCUACUAGUGGAGGAUACUCUAGCUAUGCUCCACUUAGCCCAUCCUUGUCCCUCAGUCUAUCCUAUCCUGAGUUCCUCCGAACCCAUCAAUCUUCUAACUUGCAGUAGCUUAUACGAUAUAGUGAUUGCUCAUUUUAGAUAUCUAAGUGUAUG